rnacentral:rRNA from 1 species
GAUGAACGCUAGCGGCAGGCUUAAUACAUGCAAGGCGAGGGGGCAGCAAUGUCACCGUCGUACGGGUGCGUAACGCGUGUGCAACCUACCUAUCACUGGGGGAUAGCCCGGGGAAACCCGGAUUAAUACCGCAUAACACAGGGGUCCCGCAUGGGUACUAUUUGUUAAAGAUUUAUCGGUGGUAGAUGGGCAUGCGUUCG